CCUUUUUUAAACUUAGAUUUUUCUUUUUCAAAACACGCUCUGCAUAAAAAAGAAAACAAAGAUGACGCGAGACCAGAGCAAGAUACGAGCGAGAUGAGAGCGAGGGCCCGAUCAGAGUGACAGAUUAGAGCGAGCUACAUUUUGUGUCCUUAAAUCAACUAGGUUUUCGUUUGGUACUCAGGCAGAGCUUGAUUUUAGAAGUUUUGAUUUUGAGAAACGACCUUGAGGCUAGUGAGAUCCUAUUUUGAAAUCAACUUUUGAGACCAUCUUCUUCUCUGAGUUUGAUGUUGGUUCAAGAAGCAGCAAGAAAAGGCAUGGACAGACACUAGGUAUUGAGCUAUCAAAGGAGAGACGUUCUGGUGAUUUAGUUGAAAUUGACAUUCCUGAGCAUAUUAAGAGAGUUGUAGGAAACAAUUGUCAAAGCUAUAUCACGAAUUUAGGGUGCAUAGGUCGAAGGAAUGCUCCAUUACAAGAUAGUUGGAAAAAAUUUGAAAGGAAAGAUGUUACAAUGAUGUUGCGUCGGGUUCGUGAGAAAUUCAAUUUGAGCAAUGAACCUUGUGUGCAUAUGGCUAUUGAGGAUCACAUGAAGAGAAGAUACUACUCUUGGGGUUAGAAUUUGCAUAAGAAAUUUCUGGAGUAUGGAUAUGAGGAGGAGGCACUUGAGCAUCGACCUCAAACAGUGGGAGAGGAUGAUUAGAACUAUCUAGUUCAAUUAUGGCAAAAAGAUGAGUGGAAGAAAAGUAGCACAAAAAAUAAGGAAAAUAGAAAGAAAUUGAAGAUCACACAUUGUGCUGGGCCAAAGGCCUUUAGUCGUAUUAGAUAUGAAAAUGAUGAGAUGAAGAAGCUGAAGAACCUGCCAGAAAUAGAUGAGGAAUCUGUUGAAUUGAUGUCUAAUGAUGAAAUAUAUGACUCAGUUCUUUCUAAAGUUGUUGGUCCACCUAGGUCAGGUUAUAUACGUGGCUUAGGAGCAGGUCUGAAACCCAAAACAUUUAAAGUUGGACAAUGCAAUCAUGCUACAGUUGAGGAGGCUAAAAGGAGGGCAGAUGAUGCAGAGAAAUAAUGUAUGCUUUUAGCAAAUGAGUUAUUUGAAAUGAACGAGAAUUCCAAUGCACAAAGUAUCAGUUAGAAGGUUUAUUUACAAGGCAAAAUGAGACAGAUGCACUAGUAAAAAGAUUGCUGGAGCAGUUAUCCUCGACUUCAUCAUCAAUGAGUGUGGAUAGGUACUUGUUGGAUCUACUUGAAUCCAUUGAUGACAAGUUUGAUAUACUAGGGUGGUGGAGAAUAAAUGGGCUAAAGUAUCCUGCUUUGGCAUCAAUUGCAAAGGAUGUGCUUGCAAUCUCUACCUCCACAAUAGCUUCGGAGUCUUGUUUUAGCACAAGUGGGAGAGUGAUUGACUUGUUUCGAAGCUCAUUGUCUCCUAGGAUGGUUGAGGCUUUGAUUUGCUCUCAAAAUUGGAUAAGGUCCAAAGAUAUAUCUUCAUUGCAACACAUGCCAAGCAGUGAGGAGAUGGAGUUCUAUGAAUCAAUUGAAAUGGAAAUGGGGAGUAAAACAUCCACAACAAAUUUGAAUAAGACUCCCCCUUCUUAGUGUGAUGAAGAUAUGUUGGAAGAUUAUUUUGUUAAGGCUUUUGGAAGAAUGGAUGCAGCAGAUUUUUUGCAAGGAUAUUAUCUUCAUGUGUAUUUUUGUGAUGAGUUGUAAUCUUUCAUUUCAUAAGUUUAAUUUGGAUUGCUAGUUUUAUUUGUGUGUUAUUUUUUGUAAUGGUUUGUAAGACAUUAUAUUUUCUUUCCUUGGUUGGUUGGUUGAUUGUGUGAAGGUGGGAUUUAUUUAGUUGUUUUAGAAACUUAGAUUGGAAUGAUGGAUUUUUAUAGGUUGAAUUUGCAUAAUUUCAGGAUUUGAAAGAGGAGUAAAAACUGA